GGACACAAGAAUACAAAGCUCAUCGAUAGUGGAACACAGAAAUGUCCAUGGCAGUCAAGUUGAAGAUGGGACAAGCAUUAUGAUGCUAGCAGUUUCAUGGCAAGGUGUUUACAGCGGUGACAUAGAAUUUGUACAAUAGCAGCCAGUGAAUUGAGGUGAUUAACUCCCUGCUUACCAACCAGUUGUACAGGUA